rnacentral:lncRNA from 1 species
CUCUUCCUCUUCCUUUCUUCUAGUUUGUGUUUUCUUCAUAACUAUGUCUAGCUAAAUAAUUUUGUAGCUAGGGGCGAUUUCAAAGCCCCGAACAUGUUCAAUUCAUAUUAAUAAUUCAGUUUUUGGUUUUCUAUAUUGUCAAUUGAGUGUUUGAUUCACCGUGUCUACAAGAUGAAUCUUUACUUAUUUGCUUAGGUGCGCAACUAAAUGAAUAAGUUAGGAUUCUAAUGCUAGGAGUAACACUAGAUUCGUAUAUGUCUUGUGUCCAUUCCAAUUGAGUAGCAAAAUGUUUUCGCGAAUUACAUGUGGCUCAAACCAUAGGUUUAGCAAGACUACCAACGUACUUGUGACCCUAGAUUUAUCCAAACCCUUUUCUUGCUUAAUGAUUUUGAUAUGUUAAACUUAGCGAGCUUGUGUCUAGGUUGCAUAUUUGAAAAUAGAUUAAGUGGUGAGCUUGUAUUCACUUAACGAGGAACUAAGAAAGGGUAAUGGGUUAACUCGAGCUUGUGAGUUAAUUUCGGGUAAAUUCAAUUGAGAUUUAGAAUUCCAUAACUGAGCUUUGAUAUGAAUGAAUGUGUUCGGUGCUUUCCGUGUUCCGUUUUACGUGAAUUAUUUCAUAUAGCAAAUCAACUCCAAUUGUUAUGAAAUUUUGUAUACAUAUUGUUAAAUGUGUCUUUAGUGUCCUGUAAAAGUUUCAGAAAAUUCCAUUGAGUCUAAGUUAGUUAAUUAAUUUAUUUUUAUUAACUGUUUAGUAGCAUAGUUUAUAGUAGUUUGUGACAUUUGAUUAGCAGUUUAGAAACAAUCUUCAGCGGGUAAUGACCCUUGCUUGAUCACUAUAUUACCAACGAUGAUGUUUGAGUGCAAGGUUUAAGUUGUGCAUCUUUUAAG